CCUACGGGAGGCAGCAGUGAGGAAUAUUGGUCAAUGGACGAGAGUCUGAACCAGCCAAGUAUCGUGAAGGAUGACUGCCCUAUGGGUUGUAAACUUCUUUUAUGUGGGAAUAAAAUGUUCCACGUGUGGGAUUUUGUAUGUACCAUAUGAAUAAGGAUCGGCUAACUCCGUGCCAGCAGCCGCGGUAAUACGGAGGAUCCGAGCGUUAUCCGGAUUUAUUGGGUUUAAAGGGAGCGUAGGUGGAUUGUUAAGUCAGUUGUGAAAGUUUGCGGCUCAACCGUAAAAUUGCAGUUGAAACUGGCAGUCUUGAGUACAGUAGAGGUGGGCGGAAUUCGUGGUGUAGCGGUGAAAUGCUUAGAUAUCACGAAGAACUCCGAUUGCGAAGGCAGUUCACUGGACUGCAACUGACACUGAGGCUCGAAAGUGUGGGUAUCAAACAGGAUUAGAUACCCCAGUAGUC
rnacentral:rRNA from 1 species